rnacentral:rRNA from 1 species
CGGAGGAGCAUGUGGUUUAAUUCGAUGAUACGCGAGGAACCUUACCUGGGCUCGAACGUAAGAUGACUGUAGGUGAAAGCUUACAUCUCUUCGGAGCAUUUUACGAGGUGCUGCAUGGUUGUCGUCAGCUCGUGCCGUGAGGUGUCGGGUUAAGUCCCAUAACGAGCGCAACCCUAUUGCUAGUUACCAUCAUUAAGUUGGGGACUCUAGCGAGACUGCCAGUGAUAAACUGGAGGAAGGUGGGGAUGACGUCAAAUCAUCAUGCCCCUUAUGACCUGGGCUACAAACGUGAUACAAUGGCUGGAACAAAGGGAUGCGAAGCAGUGAUGUGGAGCGAAACCCAUAAAAACAGUCUCAGUUCGGAUUGAAGUCUGCAACUCGACUUCAUGAAGUCGGAAUCGCUAGUAAUCGCGGAUCAGAACGCCGCGGUGAAUACGUUCUCGGGGUUU